rnacentral:tRNA from 121 species
GCUGCGGUAGCUCAGUGGUAGAGCACUCCAUUGGUAAUGGAGAGGUCGAGAGUUCAAUCCUCUCUCGCAGCACCA